rnacentral:rRNA from 1 species
GACGAACGCUGGCGGCGUGCCUAAUACAUGCAAGUCGAACGAACUCUGGUAUUGAUUGGUGCUUGCAUCAUGAUUUACAUUUGAGUGAGUGGCGAACUGGUGAGUAACACGUGGGAAACCUGCCCAGAAGCGGGGGAUAACACCUGGAAACAGAUGCUAAUACCGCAUAACAACUUGGACCGCAUGGUCCGAGCUUGAAAGAUGGCUUCGGCUAUCACUUUUGGAUGGUCCCGCGGCGUAUUAGCUAGAUGGUGGGGUAACGGCUCACCAUGGCAAUGAUACGUAGCCGACCUGAGAGGGUAAUCGGCCACAUUGGGACUGAGACACGGCCCAAACUCCUACGGGAGGCAGCAGUAGGGAAUCUUCCACAAUGGACGAAAGUCUGAUGGAGCAACGCCGCGUGAGUGAAGAAGGGUUUCGGCUCGUAAAACUCUGUUGUUAAAGAAGAACAUAUCUGAGAGUAACUGUUCAGGUAUUGACGGUAUUUAACCAGAAAGCCACGGCUAACUACGUGCCAGCAGCCGCGGUAAUACGUAGGUGGCAAGCGUUGUCCGGAUUUAUUGGGCGUAAAGCGAGCGCAGGCGGUUUUUUAAGUCUGAUGUGAAAGCCUUCGGCUCAACCGAAGAAGUGCAUCGGAAACUGGGAAACUUGAGUGCAGAAGAGGACAGUGGAACUCCAUGUGUAGCGGUGAAAUGCGUAGAUAUAUGGAAGAACACCAGUGGCGAAGGCGGCUGUCUGGUCUGUAACUGACGCUGAGGCUCGAAAGUAUGGGUAGCAAACAGGAUUAGAUACCCUAGUAGUCCAUACCGUAAACGAUGAAUGCUAAGUGUUGGAGGGUUUCCGCCCUUCAGUGCCGCAGCUAACGCAUUAAGCAUUCCGCCUGGGGAGUACGGCCGCAAGGCUGAAACUCAAAGGAAUUGACGGGGGCCCGCACAAGCGGUGGAGCAUGUGGUUUAAUUCGAAGCUACGCGAAGAACCUUACCAGGUCUUGACAUACUAUGCAAAUCUAAGAGAUUAGACGUUCCCUUCGGGGACAUGGAUACAGGUGGUGCAUGGUUGUCGUCAGCUCGUGUCGUGAGAUGUUGGGUUAAGUCCCGCAACGAGCGCAACCCUUAUUAUCAGUUGCCAGCAUUAAGUUGGGCACUCUGGUGAGACUGCCGGUGACAAACCGGAGGAAGGUGGGGAUGACGUCAAAUCAUCAUGCCCCUUAUGACCUGGGCUACACACGUGCUACAAUGGAUGGUACAACGAGUUGCGAACUCGCGAGAGUAAGCUAAUCUCUUAAAGCCAUUCUCAGUUCGGAUUGUAGGCUGCAACUCGCCUACAUGAAGUCGGAAUCGCUAGUAAUCGCGGAUCAGCAUGCCGCGGUGAAUACGUUCCCGGGCCUUGUACACACCGCCCGUCACACCAUGAGAGUUUGUAACACCCAAAGUCGGUGGGGUAACCUUUUAGGAACCAGCCGCCUAAGGUGGGACAGAUGAUUAGGGUGAAGUCGU